CCUACGGGAGGCAGCAGUGGGGAAUAUUGGUCAAUGGGCGCAAGCCUGACCCAGCAAUGCCGCGUGAAGGAAGAAGGCUUUCGGGUUGUAAACUUCUUUGACAGGGGAAGAGCAGAAGACGGUACCCUGAAAACAAGCCACGGCUAACUACGUGCCAGCAGCCGCGGUAAUACGUAGGUGGCAAGCGUUGUCCGGAUUUACUGGGUGUAAGGGGCGUGUAGCCGGGAAGGCAAGUCAGUUGUGAAAUCUGGAGGCUCAACCUCGAAAUUGGCUUUGAAACUGUUUUUCUUGAGUACUGUGGAGGCAGACGGAAUUCGUGGUGUAGCGGUGAAAUGCGUAGAUAUAAGGAGGAACACCAGUGGCGAAGGCGGUCUGCUGGACAGCAACUGACGGUGAGGCGCGAAAGCGUGGGGAGCAAACAGGAUUAGAUACCCGAGUAGUC
rnacentral:rRNA from 1 species